rnacentral:antisense_RNA from 1 species
AAAUGGUGCCAGACGUGGUGGUAUGAGCCUGUAAUUCCAGCUACUCAGGAAGCUGAGGUGGGAGGAUCACUCUGGCCUAGGAGUUUGAGAUCAGCCUGGGUGACAGAGCAAGACCCUGUCUCUAGAAAAGAGAAAGAAUAAAUGGCUGAUGGAGAUGACUCUACUGCAAAAAUGACAACCAGCAAGAAAGCGGGUGGUGCCCGUUUCCUCCCUGGGGACCCUCAGAGGGCCAGGCCAUUCUCUUCCUUGGUGUGACUGCGGAUCCAGGGCCCAGCUGAAGAGCAUCAGAUCUGUGGGCAUGUUGCACCAGUGAAUGUUGGAGAAGUACUUGUUGGACACACAUGUUCCUCCAUUUAGACAGUCACAGUUCGCUGGAGAGAACAAAGCCAACUGUUGUAGGGGUGGAUACUCACAUGGAACUUGAUGAAGUUCAUUGCUGCCCUGGAAGAGAUUCGGGAGGAGGCUUCAUCAAAGGUCCCAUGCUCCAGGGACUCCAGGGUGAGGGUAAACUGGCCCCAAUCCCAAAACCCACUCUUCCCUCUCCCUCUUGCCUCACCCUGUUCGUAUCUAGUUCUCAAAUGGAAGACCAUGGGUUUCCAGCCAGGAGAAAUGGAUUGACCCAAGCAAGCUUCAUCUACCAGAUGCCCGCAGGCUGGGGCAGUCCCGGCGGCCUCUUCCUCCCUUGCCAGCCAGUGCCAACCCCCGUGGUUCUCAAGCCUCCGCUGCCACCCUGUCCCAUUUCCUGGGGAGAGCCUGGCCCUGCUGUGGAUGGAAUCCGGAGGACCCCAGCUCCCUGAGCAGCCCCUCCUCUCCCCUGGUGCUGAUCAGAGGUCCUUGGGCAGCAUCAGUCAAAGCAAGAGCGCACUCACUUUGGAGUCGCUCACGACCAGGACGCAGAGAAGCAGGCGCGCCAGCAGGGCUCUCAUGGUGGCGAGGUCGGGGCGCUAGACGGCGGCUCUGCAAAGGAAGGAGAAGUCAGGGCAAGAGGCGGAGGAGCGGGAAGGCAGGCCAGGCGGACGACUGCAGCGCAGGGGAGAUGCCCGCGGUGACCAGGCUCCCCAGCUGUCUCUCUCCUCUCUGGGCUCCGGACUCCCGGGCAGCCUGGAUCGGCACCCGCGGGGGACGCCCGGAACGGGGCGCCUUGACUCCGUGCAGCCGCCGGGGAGCCCAGGGAGCCCGGGAAGCCCAGGGCGGGGGAGGCAGACGCUCGGGAGCUGGGGCCGCCGCGCAUCCGGCCCGGGGAUCUCAGGACCGCGGCACUCACCGGUGGCUGCGGCAGGAGGGCGCGAGCCGGCGCUGCGGGGACAGGUGGACCCUGGCCCGGGCUCCGGGGCUGCGGUCUCCGCACUGUGCUGCGACCCGCGGCGCCUGCUCUAUAUCAGGGCCCGCCCCGGCGCCGCCCCGCCCUCUCCCGCCCGGCUCCCUCCCCUGUCUUGCAGCGCUCAGCGACCCGGACCCCGCGUGCUUCCGCAACGCUCACAAAGAUUUGGGGGAAGCGCGAUCUCCAGCGGAGGGGACCCAACAGCGUCUGGACUGAGGAAUCGAGAGGCUUGUAAUUUCUCCGUGCUUCCUCCCAUGCACCUGGCCGGGGGCCUGCCCCAGUGCAAGGAGUCCCCGAAUUGCAGAGAGGAGAGAAGGCGCACAGGAGACUCUCUACCUCGCCCAGCUCUGAAGCCUCCUGGGGUCCUCUAAUCAGUUCUUCUGCAACUUCUCCCCGCUGGGCCCCAACUUGCCUAAGACUGCCUCAGACCCCCUUGCCCGCAGCUGAUGGAGCUGUGAAGUCUUCAUCAACGCGACAAAUGUACGAGACAUACUCUCCCAGAAGCACAGACAGAAAAACCCCUGCCUGUGUAGGGGCUCCCUCUGUGCGUCUGUUCAGUGGCAGUCCCCAGAUAUCACCAACACAACCAGUGGAUGGAACAAAGCCGGGCUUAUUGCUUUCGGCAGUAAGAGGGUUUGUUUGAUGGUGCUAUCAGAGGCGGAAAGGCAAGGCCAGAUUACUGAAAAUUUGCAGCUUGGUUUAAAGUCCGUUUUUGACAGGGCUUGAUAAGGAUUGGGUUAGGUGUCGUGAUAUGAUGUUACAGGAUUGUGGGAACAAAGUCCUAGGGCAUAAACUGUUGGUGCUUCCUAUUGAAGUGUUAACGGGUCUUUUGGGAAGUUUCCAUAAUGAGCAAUUCAUUUAUUUGUGCAGGCAAGAAUAAAAGUAAAGACAAUGGAAACAUGUAGACAGUUCUAACUGUGGAGGUUCUGGAGGGUGUGGAAGUUCUGUUCUCACCUCUGAGUAGAGGAAUUGGGAGACUGGAGGACAAAAUAAGAGGAAGAUUUAUUUUUCACUGUUUGUCUUUUUACACUCUUAACAUUUUAAAAAGCACAUCUCUGUAUAGCCCAUUCCAAAAAGAUAAUUACGCAUUUUUUAAUGCAUGUGUAUUUAGUGUUUUACUUCAUCAUAGAGCCUUGUUUAUUCUAUUCAGAUAGAAACAAUUGUUUAUCAAAUAAAAUUGUCCUCCAGAAAAACA